rnacentral:lncRNA from 1 species
UGACAAUCUGGGUGUUACAAAUAACUGACUCGCCGUCGUGAUCGCUGGAGCUGAGGUUCGGGAGGAAAGUGGAAACCUGAGCAGUGACCGAGCUUCUGCCCUCUGCAGGGUCUCCAAGAGCAGAGAGGACUCCUGCCAGAGCCGGCUUGCCAGGGAGCAGGAGCAAGAUAAGAAGACAAUGCUUUAAAGAGAUAUUGGGACACUGGUGCGUCUAGCCUUGGUGGUCUCAGGAAGAGGUGACAGAAGACUUCUUGG